CCUACUCUAACAAGACUGGUUGAGGCGGCGGACCUCUGCUGACCUUACCCGGGAAACCACUUAGAGGCUGGAUCCGGGGCGAGGGGAAUUGGGUCCUUCGUUGGCCCAGGGAGGGACUCUUCGGUUCAAGUAGGCUCCGAGUGUGGCGCCCCAGGGGACUGCGUUUCGGACACACGGCGAAUAUUCUUCUUUGGCAGUUAAUCACAUAUACCGACCCCUAUGAAACUUUAAAGACACUUGUGGAGGCCUGUUAGGUUUGCUGGCACUUUCCCGCCAGAUCCCUCUGCUUCCCUUUAGAAUUAUUAUUAUUAUUGUUAUUAUUAUUAUUAUUAAUUAUUAUUAUUAUUGGGACGGAGUUUCGCUCUUGUUGCCCAGGCUGGAGUGCAGUGGCGCGAUCUCGGCUCACUGCAACCUCCGCCUCCCGGGUUC
rnacentral:lncRNA from 1 species